AGAGUUUGAUCCUGGCUCAGGAUGAACGCUGGCGGCGUGCCUAAUACAUGCAAGUCGAGCGAACGGACGAGAAGCUUGCUUCUCUGAUGUUAGCGGCGGACGGGUGAGUAACACGUGGAUAACCUACCUAUAAGACUGGGAUAACUUCGGGAAACCGGAGCUAAUACCGGAUAAUAUUUUGAACCGCAUGGUUCAAAAGUGAAAGACGGUCUUGCUGUCACUUAUAGAUGGAUCCGCGCUGCAUUAGCUAGUUGGUAAGGUAACGGCUUACCAAGGCAACGAUGCAUAGCCGACCUGAGAGGGUGAUCGGCCACACUGGAACUGAGACACGGUCCAGACUCCUACGGGAGGCAGCAGUAGGGAAUCUUCCGCAAUGGGCGAAAGCCUGACGGAGCAACGCCGCGUGAGUGAUGAAGGUCUUCGGAUCGUAAAACUCUGUUAUUAGGGAAGAACAUAUGUGUAAGUAACUGUGCACAUCUUGACGGUACCUAAUCAGAAAGCCACGGCUAACUACGUGCCAGCAGCCGCGGUAAUACGUAGGUGGCAAGCGUUAUCCGGAAUUAUUGGGCGUAAAGCGCGCGUAGGCGGUUUUUUAAGUCUGAUGUGAAAGCCCACGGCUCAACCGUGGAGGGUCAUUGGAAACUGGAAAACUUGAGUGCAGAAGAGGAAAGUGGAAUUCCAUGUGUAGCGGUGAAAUGCGCAGAGAUAUGGAGGAACACCAGUGGCGAAGGCGACUUUCUGGUCUGUAACUGACGCUGAUGUGCGAAAGCGUGGGGAUCAAACAGGAUUAGAUACCCUGGUAGUCCACGCCGUAAACGAUGAGUGCUAAGUGUUAGGGGGUUUCCGCCCCUUAGUGCUGCAGCUAACGCAUUAAGCACUCCGCCUGGGGAGUACGACCGCAAGGUUGAAACUCAAAGGAAUUGACGGGGACCCGCACAAGCGGUGGAGCAUGUGGUUUAAUUCGAAGCAACGCGAAGAACCUUACCAAAUCUUGACAUCCUUUGACAACUCUAGAGAUAGAGCCUUCCCCUUCGGGGGACAAAGUGACAGGUGGUGCAUGGUUGUCGUCAGCUCGUGUCGUGAGAUGUUGGGUUAAGUCCCGCAACGAGCGCA
rnacentral:rRNA from 1 species